UACGGGGGGGAGCAAGCGUUGUUCGGAUUUACUGGGCGUAAAGGGCGCGUAGGCGGCCUCUGCAAGUCGACUGUGAAAUCUCCGGGCUUAACCCGGAAAGGUCAGCCGAUACUGCAGGGCUAGAGUGCAGAAGGGGCAACUGGAAUUCUCGGUGUAGCGGUGAAAUGCGUAGAUAUCGGGAGGAACACCUGCGGUGUAGACGGCUUACUGGACCAUAACUGACGCUGAGGCACGAAAGCGUGGGUAGCAAACAGG
rnacentral:rRNA from 1 species